GUGAAGAACGCAGCUAAAUGCGAUAAGUAAUGUGAAUUGCAGAAUUCAGUGAAUCAUCGAAUCUUUGAACGCACAUUGCGCCCGCCAGUAUUCUGGCGGGCAUGCCUGUUCGAGCGUCAUUACAACCCUCAGGCCCCCGGGCCUGGCGUUGGGGAUCGGCGGAAGCCCCCUGCGGGCACAACGCCGUCCCCCAAAUACAGUGGCGGUCCCGCCGCAGCUUCCAUUGCGUAGUAGCUAACACCUCGCAACUGGAGAGCGGCGCGGCCACGCCGUAAAACACCCAACUUCUGAAUGUUGACCUCGAAUCAGGUAGGAAUACCCGCUGAACUUAAGCAUAUCAAUAAGCGGAGGA
rnacentral:misc_RNA from 1 species